rnacentral:miRNA from 1 species
UAGAGGUGCAAUGUAAACAUUGUUGUUUCUCUGGAACUGCAAUGUUUUACAUUGCAGCACUA